UCCCCUCCCCUCCUCCCUUCCUCCCCCCCGUUUCUUCCUCUCUCUCCUCCCCCUCCAUUCUUCUCUCCCUCUCUCCCCUUUCCCUUCUCGCCCCUCCCCUGGCUUCCCCACCCCUUCCAGCUCUGCACUGGCUGAGGUUAUGGAAAUACAUAAAUAACACUUGAGCCUUGAUCACCACCUGGAGUUGGAGGAGACACAGCAGGACACAUUCACUAUAAGAAUCUGAAACAGAGCCUGUCAGGAGCAGUGCCAUCUAAUCCUUCACUGCCUGAGAGAAGAUGAGAGCUGCUAUUCCCACUUUAAAGAUGAAGAAACUGAGCCUAGCAGAGAUUGAGAAAAAACAAUCACACAACUAGGGAAUGGCAGCAUAACAACAAAAAUCCAGUGAAAUGUUUGUUCAGAUCCUUGCCCAUAUUCUAAAUGUUGUCUGCAGUAUUCAGUACAAUCAUGUUGGGGUGAUCAGAGCCAACACCGGGCCGUGGGGGCUACGAAGUCCGGCAGAGUCAAAGAAUGAGA